GCGCCUGUAGCUCAAUGGAUAGAGCGCCGGUCUUCGGAACCGUAGGUUGGGGGUUCGACUCCCUCCAGGCGCA
rnacentral:tRNA from 1 species